AUGAAGAGACUGGCAGCUCUGCUGGGGCUUCUGUGGGUCCAGCUGUGCUGGGUGAGGGGGUUGCAGGUUCAGCAGAGUCCUUCAGCCCUGCGUGUCCAGGAGGGAGCCAGCUGUACCCUGAGGUGCAAUUUUUCUGACACUGUGACAAACUUGCAGUGGUUCCGACAGAAUCCUGGGAGCGGCCUCGUCAAUCUGUUCUUCAUAGCUUCAGGGACAAAACAGAACGGAAGGCUGAAGGCAACAAUCAAUUCUCAGGAGCGCUACAGCACCCUCCACGUCAUGACCUCCCAACUGGAAGACUCAGGCACCUACCUCUGUGCAGCAGAGACACAGUGCUCCCAGGGCGCCUGCUGCCUGGACCCAAACUGCAGCUGGGCCUGCAGCUGUAACCCCACCCAUUUCACAGAGUGGCACGUGGCUUCUGCAUAA